UACGUAGGGGGCUAGCGUUGUCCGGAUUUAUUGGGCGUAAAGAGCGUGUAGGCGGCCAGGUAGGUCUGGUGUGAAAACUCGAGGCUUAACCUCGAGAUGUCAUCGGAAACCAUCUGGCUAGAGUCCGGAAGAGGAGAGUGGAAUUCCCGGUGUAGCGGUGAAAUGCGCAGAUAUCGGGAAGAACACCCGUGGCGAAGGCGGCUCUCUGGAACGCAACUGACGCUGAGACGCGAAAGCGUGGGGAGCGAACAGG
rnacentral:rRNA from 1 species